GCAUGCGUCUAAAUAUUCGAUGUGAUGGGGAAUUUUGAAAAAUUUUGGGUUUUUGGGUGGAAGUAAACAAGGCCUAGUUCACUCAAAAAACUAAAAAAAUUUCAAGAUUCUCUGUCACAUCGAAUCUUAUAACAUUUGUAUGGAGCAUUAAAGAUUAAAACAAAAAUUAAUUGUAUAAUUUACUUGUAAAUCACGAGAUGAAUCUUUUAAGCUAAGUUAGUCUAUGAUUAGACAAUAUUUAUCAAAUAAAAAUAAAAGUGUUACGUUACUCAAAAUCAAAAAAAUUUAAAAACUGAACGAGGCGAACUGGUUUGGAAAGCAUGACUGCAUGGGCACCAUGCAUACUGCCAAGGGUAAAAAUCCCUGUACGUUGCAGCGCAUUUGUUUGCGAGCUCUGUUCGCUGGUCUAAAAAAUUAUGGUUGAAAAAACAAAAAAGUACGGUUUUAAGAUAAUCAAACAGGC
rnacentral:lncRNA from 1 species